rnacentral:lncRNA from 1 species
ACCAACCUGACCCGGCCGAAACAGUGCUACUCCGUUCUCCACACAGUGGAAAAGCUCCAGGAAUUCAUCUUUUACAUGCUCUCUAAUGUUUGGGGAAGACAAGCUACAACAUAUAGAAUUUGCAAUUCCAGAGACAAAAGAUGAAUAGUUGAGCCGGCUUUUUUCUCUUAGCACAGUGGAUCUUGAAAAAUGAGGUUAGCUGCUGUCGAAAAGCAUAAUUUUCCAGCUUCUUAUCAGCCACAGGUGCAGCCACAAUUACUGUGGGUCCCACCAAAAUAAAAUCUAUUUUUUUGCAUAACCAAACACAUAGAAACUGUGGUUUAUUUGAACCUCCGGUACAGCCGCAUUACCAAACGGCAUCUUA